rnacentral:rRNA from 1 species
GCUUGCUGUUGGCCAGCAGCUGGGGUUAUCCGUAGGGGCGCGGCGUUUUCCGGAGUUCUGGGGCGUAAAUGGCUCGUAGUCGGUGUGUUGCGUCGGUCGUGAAAGCCACCGGCUUAACCGGGGGUCUGCGGUGGAUACGGGCAGACUAGAGGCAGGUAGGGGAGAACGGAAUUCCCGGUGUAGCGGUGAAAUGCGCAGAUAUCGGGAGGAACACCGGUGGCGAAGGCGGUUCUCUGGGCCUGUACUGACGCUGAGGAGCGAAAGCGUGGGGAGCGAACAGGAUUAGAUACCCUUGUAUUC